GACGAACGCUGGCGGCGUGCUUAACACAUGCAAGUCGAACGGAAAGGCCCUGCUUUUGUGGGGUGCUCGAGUGGCGAACGGGUGAGUAACACGUGAGUAACCUGCCCUUGACUUUGGGAUAACUUCAGGAAACUGGGGCUAAUACCGGAUAGGGGCUCCUGCUGCAUGGUGGGGGUUGGAAAGUUUCGGCGGUUGGGGAUGGACUCGCGGCUUAUCAGCUUGUUGGUGGGGUAGUGGCUUACCAAGGCUUUGACGGGUAGCCGGCCUGAGAGGGUGACCGGCCACAUUGGGACUGAGAUACGGCCCAGACUCCUACGGGAGGCAGCAGUGGGGAAUAUUGCACAAUGGGCGGAAGCCUGAUGCAGCAACGCCGCGUGCGGGAUGACGGCCUUCGGGUUGUAAACCGCUUUCGCCUGUGACGAAGCGUGAGUGACGGUAAUGGGUAAAGAAGCACCGGCUAACUACGUGCCAGCAGCCGCGGUGAUACGUAGGGUGCGAGCGUUGUCCGGAUUUAUUGGGCGUAAAGGGCUCGUAGGUGGUUGAUCGCGUCGGAAGUGUAAUCUUGGGGCUUAACCCUGAGCGUGCUUUCGAUACGGGUUGACUUGAGGAAGGUAGGGGAGAAUGGAAUUCCUGGUGGAGCGGUGGAAUGCGCAGAUAUCAGGAGGAACACCAGUGGCGAAGGCGGUUCUCUGGGCCUUUCCUGACGCUGAGGAGCGAAAGCGUGGGGAGCGAACAGGCUUAGAUACCCUGGUAGUCCACGCUGUAAACGGUGGGUACUAGGUGUGGGGUCCAUUCCACGGGUUCCGUGCCGUAGCUAACGCUUUAAGUACCCCGCCUGGGGAGUACGGCCGCAAGGCUAAAACUCAAAGGAAUUGACGGGGCCCCGUACAAGCGGCGGAGCAUGCGGAUUAAUUCGAUGCAACGCGUAGAACCUUACCUGGGUUUGACAUGGAUCGGGAGUGCCCAGAGAUGGGUGUGCCUCUUUUGGGGUCGGUUCACAGGUGGUGCAUGGCUGUCGUCAGCUCGUGUCGUGAGAUGUUGGGUUAAGUCCCGCAACGAGCGCAACCCUUGUUCACUGUUGCCAGCACGUUAUGGUGGGGACUCAGUGGAGACCGCCGGGGUCAACUCGGAGGAAGGUGGGGAUGACGUCAAGUCAUCAUGCCCCUUAUGUCCAGGGCUUCACGCAUGCUACAAUGGCUGGUACAGAGAGUGGCGAGCCUGUGAGGGUGAGCGAAUCUCGGAAAGCCGGUCUCAGUUCGGAUUGGGGUCUGCAACUCGACCUCAUGAAGUCGGAGUCGCUAGUAAUCGCAGAUCAGCAACGCUGCGGUGAAUACGUUCACGGG
rnacentral:rRNA from 1 species